GACAGAGGGUGCAAACGUUGUUCGGAAUUACUGGGCGUAAAGCGAGUGUAGGCGGUCUUGAAAGUCGGAUGUGAAAGCCCUGGGCUCAACCUGGGAAUUGCAUUGGAUACUGGCAGGCUAGAGUGCGGUAGAGGGUAGUGGAAUUCCCGGUGUAGCAGUGAAAUGCGUAGAGAUCGGGAGGAACACCAGUGGCGAAGGCGACUACCUGGACCAGCACUGACACUGAGGCACGAAAGCGUGGGGAGCAAACAGG
rnacentral:rRNA from 1 species